UGUGGGAUAUUUUUGCCCAGAAUCUUUGGUUUUCCACAAGCAAAUACUUCAAUUGACUGUGAUUCUCUGUUACCAAACUAUGAAGCUGAACCACAAGCAUCUACUCCACCAUACCUCAUUGCUAUAUCUUUUGAUAAAUUUGAACCAGGAAAUGAAAUCGAAGUGACUUUGGAAGCCCUUAAGGAGGCUAGCUUUAAAGGAUUUCAUCUACAAGCUCGAGAAGUGGAAGGGGAUGUUCCUGUUGGUACUUUUAAAAUUACAGAUCCAAACACAAAAGGCUUGGAUUGUCAUAACGUGACGAAUUCAGCAGUAAGUCAUGCAAAUUCAGAUCUGAAACAAAAAAUUACGACAACAUGGAUCGCACCACAUGAUACAAGAGAACUUCAAUUUAUUGCAACUGUUGUUCAAGAUCUAGAAAAAUUUUGGGUCGGGGUUCAAAGUAAAACUGUCACACCUGCAGUUUCCAAGUCAGUGAAUGGGACAGGAAAAA